rnacentral:tRNA from 1 species
GCUCACGACGCAGGUUGUUUCCAAUCAGACGCCGCCCUCCGGAGGCGGGAGCGCAGGUUCGAAUCCUGCCGGGGGCACCA